AGUUUGAUCAUGGCUCAGAUUGAACGCUGGCGGCAGGCCUAACACAUGCAAGUCGGACGGUAGCACAGAGAGCUUGCUCUUGGGUGACGAGUGGCGGACGGGUGAGUAAUGUCUGGGGAUCUGCCCGAUAGAGGGGGAUAACCACUGGAAACGGUGGCUAAUACCGCAUAACGUCGCAAGACCAAAGAGGGGGACCUUCGGGCCUCUCACUAUCGGAUGAACCCAGAUGGGAUUAGCUAGUAGGCGGGGUAAUGGCCCACCUAGGCGACGAUCCCUAGCUGGUCUGAGAGGAUGACCAGCCACACUGGAACU
rnacentral:rRNA from 1 species